UCCUGCAAAGCAGAACGACCCGUGAACUCGUUAA
rnacentral:rRNA from 1 species